AUGUGCAGGUCGGACAUGAGGCAAUAAAAGCUUGGCCCACCAACCACAUGGCUCCUACCGCCCUGUCAACGUAGAGGUGAGUUGGUGGGGUCUGCUGAGUGCUUCUGGCGUAGCAGCUCGGCAGUGCCGUGCUGUUUGAAGUCAUCACAGAUAUAAACUACACGUUGCAGCAACUCUCAAUCGCAUUCCUGCCCGUCAUGUCGAACAGUGUAGCGCGAAUUUCAGUUUGAGGUCUGCACUCUUACUACAAUGCAGAUGGUGACAGCAUCAGGCUGCACUCGCUCUAUAUCACACAAAACAAGAAGAGAGAAUCGACGAG